rnacentral:lncRNA from 1 species
UUAUUUAUUGUUGUUGUUGUUUGUUUUGUUCUUAAUAUUUUUGUUUUAAAUAAGUUGUGUGUUACUCUAUAUGUUACAGAUAAAGGACAUUCGUGCCGGAUGAACGAUGAAGCUUGGAAUGAUUGGAUGGAAGACACACCCCUCUACUUUCUCUUCUGGAAACCCCCAAAGAUUGAUGUCACCGACUCAAAAAAUUGGACGCGACUCUUUGUCACUGGAUUUUGU